UGGCUCAGAUGGUAAAGUAUCUGACUGCAAUGCAGGAGAUCCAGGUUCAAUCCCUGG
rnacentral:tRNA from 1 species